GACGGAGGAUGCAAGUGUUAUCCGGAAUCACUGGGCGUAAAGCGUCUGUAGGUGGUCAAAUAAGUCAACUGUUAAAUCUUGAGGCUCAACCUCAAAAUCGCAGUCGAAACUAUUCGACUAGAGUAUAGUAGGGGUAUAGGGAAUUUCCAGUGGAGCGGUGAAAUGCGUAGAGAUUGGAAAGAACACCGAUGGCGAAGGCACUUUACUGGGCUAUUACUAACACUGAGAGACGAAAGCUAGGGUAGCAAACAGG
rnacentral:rRNA from 1 species